AAUCAACGCUGGCGGCGUGCCUCAGACAUGCAAGUCGAACGAUUAAACUUCCCUUCGGGGAAGAUAUAAAGUGGCGCACGGGUGAGUAACACGUAGGUAAUGUACCUUUGGGUGGGGAAUAACUUAGGGAAACUUAAGCUAAUACCGCAUAAUGCAGCGGCUCCUUCGGGAGACAGUUGUUAAAGAUUUAUCGCCUAAAGAGCAGCCUGCGGCAGAUUAGCUAGUUGGUAAGGUAACGGCUUACCAAGGCUACGAUCUGUAUCCGACCUGAGAGGGUGGUCGGACACACUGACACUGAAUAACGGGUCAGACUCCUACGGGAGGCAGCAGUAGGGAAUUUUGGGCAAUGGGCGAAAGCCUGACCCAGCAACGCCGCGUGAAGGAUGAAGUCUUUCGGGAUGUAAACUUCGUAAGAAUAGGAAGAAUAAAUGACGGUACUAUUUGUAAGGUCCGGCUAACUACGUG
rnacentral:rRNA from 1 species